GAUGAAGAACUCAGCGAAAUGCGAUAAGUAAUGUGAAUUGCAGAAUUCAGUGAAUCAUCGAAUCUUUGAACGCACCUUGCACCCUUUGGCAUUCCGAAGGGUAUGCUCGUUUGAGUGUCAUUGUACUCUCACACUUCCGAUCUUUGGAUUGGGAGCGGUGGACUUGGGUGUUGCUGCUUACUGUGGCUCACCUCAAAUCGAUUCGUGCACCUCUUGGUUGGACAUAGUACGGCGUGAUAAGUGUCUUCGCCGGCACCUCAGUAGAGGGUGGCUGAUCGGGAGCUCUGCUUCAAACCGUCCUCGGACAACAACUGACAACUUGACCUCAAAUCGAGUAGGACUACCCGCUGAACUUAAGCAUAUCAAUAAGCGGAGGA
rnacentral:misc_RNA from 1 species